rnacentral:rRNA from 1 species
UACGUAGGGUGCAAGCGUUAAUCGGAAUUACUGGGCGUAAAGCGUGCGCAGGCGGUUCGCUAAGACAGAUGUGAAAUCCCCGGGCUUAACCUGGGAACUGCAUUUGUGACUGGCGGGCUAGAGUAUGGCAGAGGGGGGUAGAAUUCCACGUGUAGCAGUGAAAUGCGUAGAGAUGUGGAGGAAUACCGAUGGCGAAGGCAGCCUCCUGGGCCAAUACUGACGCUCAUGCACGAAAGCGUGGGGAGCAAACAGG